ensembl:lincRNA Gm6639 predicted gene 6639
AGUUUGGUGUUCAGGAGUAAGAAGGCAGAAUAAAGUUUCAAGUCUAUUAAAAAUUUCUCCUUUCCAGGCUCCAUGGAAAAGGUGGAGACCUGAACCAGGAGUAUCUUAUUUUUUUCUAUACGGAAACCCUUGAGAAUGAAGACACCGGAGGAAUAUAUCAAACCUUGCUGUGCCAAGGCCCCGUGGAACUCACAGAAUAAGAAAAGGUUUAAGAUAAACUGCAUCAUCCCACUGAAUUACCUGUGCACAGUGGAUGAUGUGGACUUAGACAACAUGAAUGAAAUGUGUACUUGCAAGACCAUUUACCUGUUUUGGCCCACUGGAAAUUUUUUGGCCACCUUUUGUUCAAAAGAACAGAAAGAUAAAUGGUUCUAUUUUCUCAAAAGAUCCAUUGAUGAAGCCAAGAGGAUAUCAAGAAAAAUUUCUCAUUGGAGAUAUUCACGGAAGACAUCCCAAGCUGUGACAGUCCUUUAUGUGUAACAGAAACAAACAUCGAUGCAGUGAAUGAUAUCAUUGAGAAGUUACUACCAAUGAUGCAAAUGCCUAACCCUGGAAAUUGUAUGUAAAGAAAAUCACUAGAGUCUUCAAGACACUCCUGUCAGAUCAUUUGUGAUGGCUGGUUCUUUUUGGCUCUCAGAACAGUGAAGCUUACCAACUGUGGUUCUGUCCUGGCCAUGAGGAAGCUUCAAGAGCACUCCAAGGCUAUGAGUAUUUACAUGAUAUUAUAAUUACCAACCUUCAAAAUACCUUCAGUAGAUCGAACUCAAGAUUUUUCACUUGCCUGGGUUGUUUGUGAAAGACCUAAACUCGGAUGCACAGGGGCAAUUCAUCUUAAAGCCUGCAGACUCAGCUACAAGCCAGCAGCAAAGACAUUCUAUCCCUCAUAGAAGAAAAAGGACCCAAGACUGAGGGCAUAUUCAUGAUAUCUCCAAAUGUGAAAUCAUGCAAAAUCCUAAAGGACAAAUUUGAAUCUGGGGAAGAGGUGGAUAUAAAAAAGUACUCAGUACAUGAAAUCGCCUGGAUCUUAAAGUCUUACAGAAAAACUCCCAGGAUCCAAUGCUGCUCUUCUCCAACAACUUUUUCAAAUAUUACACAAAAUUGCAACAAAUUCUUCCAUUAACCAAAUGCCAUCGUACAUGGAUAGCACCAUGUAUCUUAUGUCUUCCUAGCUAUCAUAAUGAAGUACUGGCAAAUGAUAUUACCAAAAAAGAUUUCUCUGGUAACUUUCAUGAUUGAAAACUCUCCCAAAAUUUUCGGAAUAGACAUGGUUUCAGUUUCGUAUGAAACGUCACUUUUUCAUCCACAAGGAGCAAAGGCCUCAUGUUCCCAAAAUACUCCACCUAACAUCGGGAACAUCCAGGAAACAGAAUAUGGACUCAGCAGCUGUUCCAAUGGGAGGACACGCAUGCCUGGUCAUGAUGCACUGGCGAUAAGUCCAGCUGCUUCUCUUUCCUAUGAGGGCAUUAUAGCCCCGGCUUGCCUCCCAGGUGAAACCUGGUCCAUGUGAGACGUGGGUGGGCUUCCAGCUUCCAACAGUCUGGUGCUUGGGCCAGGGACUUGAAGAAUGGCCGAAAAAUGCUGGAGGAAUGCUGCUUGGUGUGGAGCUCCACGGGAAGAAAAAGAAAAGGAUCGUAUUGGGCACCGAAGCAACAGNNNNCACCUGUGUGUUAUAGAUUAUUUCCUAUUGUAAGAAGUUGCUUCAAAAUUUUGAGAAACAAGAAGGCAAUGAGUAUACAAACCAACAAACAUCUUCUCAAACUCCUCCAGAAUCAAUAAAAAAAAAAAACCAAAUAUUUUGUACAAUUCCAGCCAUUGUUUGCUCGGACAAGAUGCUACUUCAUAUACUUGACAUGUUAUCCAUGAUUGCACAAAAGGGACAAAAUUCAGAUCUAAUAUUCUGAUUCUUCUCGAGAGAAUCACACUGGUCCCUGAGGGAUAAGAUUUACACUGAACAGCUGAUUAACUGGAAUGAAGAAUCUGUGCUAAUAUUAGCUUCUGUUUUUAAGGAUUAUAUUAAAAAUAUAAAAGGAAGCUUGCUUUAUUCAGGCUUAUAUGAAAAUUGGGUUAGCGUACUUGAUGAAGAUUCUCUACUUGCAAAAAUGUCUGCUAUACAGAGAUGUCUAUUAUACAAAUCAUGAUUGACAACUGUGGAGAUAUAUUUGGUAACAAUGACCAUAUAAUUUGUAAUGAUAAUCAGAAAAGGUCAGAUGACAUAAAGACUCCACUAAAAUUCUGCUGCAGGAGAUAAUGAAACUUCAACAUAUAAAUUUCCACAACAGAAACUUCCUCAUGACUAAAGAAGUCUCCUCCCUACCCCUUCCCCUCUCUUCUAGAUCCAUUCCUUCUCCACCCCCAUCCCCCACAAAAAAGAGCAUGCUGCACAGGGAAAUCAACUGUGAUGGUUACUCUCAGUAGUCAACUUGACUACAUCUGGAAUGAAUCUAGAAAAAGAGGACACACCUGUGACUCAGAUCUUGAGCCUGAAAGACACAAGCUUUUGAUACAGAUUUUGCGGUGGCAUUACAUUUACUCGGAAUCUCGACUGACAUACACCUUUAAUCCAGAUCUUGAGGCACACCUUUAAUCUGGGCCACUCCUUCUACUGGAGACCAACAUACUAGAAGAAGGAAGUCACCUUCUUCUUUACCUGCUUGCACUCACUUUGCCAGCAUAUCCAUUGGAGCCUACUUCUUCAGAAUUACAGUUUAUACAAAGGCCAGUUGAGACACCCAGCCUCAGCAAAGAAAUGUAUGUAUACAUAUAAGAAUGAGUAUAUUCUUUUGUGAAUAUUUUUAUAUGAUGUAUCUACAUUUAUGUUAAAUGUAUAUCUUUAACUCUAAGCCUUUACCACACAUGCUUUUAUGUGUGAAUAAUAUUGCACAUAUUCAUUCCCCCUUUUACCUAUAACCCCCAACUCAUAAAUGAGAGUAACUCCAACUGUGUUACUUAGUAAUGUAACUAUUCAAUCGUUACAUACAUGCGUGCAAUAUUAAAAUUUUAAC